GAGUGGGUAGCUCAGCGGUUAGAGCCUAGGGCGUGUGACCGAAAGGUCCCGAGUUCGAAUCUCGCAAGAGGCA
rnacentral:tRNA from 1 species